GCCCGCAUGGCUCAGUGGUAGAGCGUCUCACUCGUAAUGAGAAGAUCCUUCGUUCGAUCCGGAGUGUGGGCA
rnacentral:tRNA from 1 species